rnacentral:rRNA from 2 species
GUCGAGCGAGACCUUCGGGUCUAGCGGCGGACGGGUGAGUAACGCGUGGGAACGUGCCCUUUGCUACGGAAUAGCCCCGGGAAACUGGGAGUAAUACCGUAUGUGCCCUUCGGGGGAAAGAUUUAUCGGCAAAGGAUCGGCCCGCGUUGGAUUAGGUAGUUGGUGGGGUAAUGGCCUACCAAGCCGACGAUCCAUAGCUGGUUUGAGAGGAUGAUCAGCCACACUGGGACUGAGACACGGCCCAGACUCCUACGGGAGGCAGCAGUGGGGAAUCUUAGACAAUGGGGGCAACCCUGAUCUAGCCAUGCCGCGUGAGUGAUGAAGGCCUUAGGGUUGUAAAGCUCUUUCAGCUGGGAAGAUAAUGACGGUACCAGCAGAAGAAGCCCCGGCUAACUCCGUGCCAGCAGCCGCGGUAAUACGGAGGGGGCUAGCGUUGUUCGGAAUUACUGGGCGUAAAGCGCACGUAGGCGGACCGGACAGUCAGAGGUGAAAUCCCAGGGCUCAACCUUGGAACUGCCUUUGAAA